UACGUAGGGUGCAAGCGUUGUCCGGAAUUAUUGGGCGUAAAGAGCUCGUAGGCGGUGUGUCGCGUCGGCCGUGAAAACCUGCAGCUUAACUGUGGGCUUGCGGUCGAUACGGGCAUCACUGGAGUUCGGCAGGGGAGACUGGAAUUCCUGGUGUAGCGGUGAAAUGCGCAGAUAUCAGGAGGGACACCGGUGGCGAAGGCGGGUCUCUGGGCCGAUACUGACGCUGAGGAGCGAAAGCGUGGGUAGCAAACAGG
rnacentral:rRNA from 1 species